GUGCCCGUGGUCCAGCUGGAUAGGACGUUGGCCUCCGAAGCCAGAGAUCGUGGGUUCGAAUCCCGCCGGGCACACCA
rnacentral:tRNA from 1 species